AUGAUGCCAAUGAGGAAUUGUAGUUUGAUAAAAUAUCUGCAUCCUUUCUACACAAUGGCUUUAAAAUUUUUGCUAGUGUUCUCUGCAUUGCAAACUGAAGAAACCGUGACUUGGACGGAAAGCAAGGCUUCUACACAGCCAGCAGGUUCUGCGAAGACUCCAACUGGCCUGGCAGUGUUUCCAAGGAUCCACCCAUCUCGGCUCUCAGAGAACGAGGCUGCACUUCUUCGAUGACAAUGACCAUCCAUUUUAUAUACUGAAUUCCAGUACCCUGGAAGAGAAACUAAAUCUCCUAUGCCCAUGCUCCAUAAGUUUCUUUUGAUAAUAGCACAAAAUUAGAAAUAUCCUUAGUGUUUCUGGUAGGCAUUAGCUAAAUUGCAUGUGGUAUUCACACACACACACACACACAAUAUUGUGCCAAAAAAAUGUUAGGGGCAGGUAUUUGUGGCACGACAGAUUAAGCUGCCACGUGUUAAAUCAGAAUGCCUGGGAUGGAGUCCAGGCUCCACUUCCCAUCCAGCUUCCUGCUAACACACACCCUGGAGGCAGCAGAUGAGAAUUGCACAGGUAUUUGGAUUCCUGCCACCAGGUAGGAGACCUGGAUGAAAUUUCUUGCUCCUGGCAUUGGCCUAGCCCAGCCAAACUAUUGGGGGAACUUGGGGAUUGAUCCAGUGGAUGGAAGAUCUCUGGCUAUCUCUCCCUCUCUUUCUAUCACUCUGCCUUUCAAAUAACUAGAACUUUAAAAAAUAUUGUGUACGAAUACAUAAAUGACAUGGGAAAAUGGUCAGAAUGUACUAGGUGAAAAGUCAGGCUCAAAAUGAGUCACUUUAACAGAGAUGUCUAUAUAUAUCUAUCCUUCUAGAUCAGUUAUGCUUAAAAUUGUGUGUGUAUGUGUGUGAAAAACCAAGGUUAAAAAAAGAACAAAAUGGAAAUAGCAGUGAUGGGAAUAUGGGUGACUUUUAUUAUUUUCAGCUCUUCUGCACGCUCUAAAUGUCCUCUAAAGAACAUACUUUGUUAGAAAAAAAAAAAUCCGUGUUUUCUAAUAAGUUUUCCAACACGUCAAGGUUUAUAUGAUCGAGGGUUUUAUUUCUGGUCAGGAUGGAGUGAAAGAGGAGACUCAUGUCCAGCGAAAGAGAAAAAAAAAAUCCAGCAGGGACAGCACUCAAUAAACACCUAAUUUUGUGUCUGAUCUUGUGCCUG
rnacentral:lncRNA from 1 species